ACCACCACCUCCUCCACCAACCAAUCCAAUGGCACAAAACUAGAAAGACAAAUCAAUCUUUCUUCGUUUUUCCUGAUUCCUUCCCACUUCCUCUCAUCAAAUCAUCAAAUCACCAUGGAGCGCGCACGUAGGCUCGCUUACAGAGGCAUCGUGAGACGCCUCGUUAACGAAUCGAAACGACACCGUAACGGCGAGAUCACCCCUCACCACGUCCCUUCCGUCGUCCCCCACGCUCCUUCUCGCUACAUCUCUUCCCUCUCCCCUUUCCUCUCCAACAACCACCACAACAGAUCCGUCAAUCUCCCCAAACACCACAACCAUAACCAGACGCGUUCGAUCUCCGUCGAUGCGGUUAAGGCGGGAGACACUUUCCCGCGCCGCCACAACUCCGCGACGCCGGACGAGCAAGCGCACAUGGCGAAAUACUGCGGAUACGAUCACAUCGACUCCUUGGUCGACGACACCGUCCCGAAACAGAUCCGAAUCGACUCGAUGAAGUUCUCCAAAUUCGACGGAGGCCUCACCGAGAGCGAGAUGAUCGCGCACAUGACCGAGCUGGCCUCCAAGAACAAGGUCUUCAAGUCCUUCAUCGGGAUGGGGUACUACAACACACACGUCCCCACCGUGAUCAUCCGCAACAUCCUGGAGAACCCCGCCUGGUACACUCA
rnacentral:lncRNA from 1 species